rnacentral:lncRNA from 1 species
GGGCAUAGGGGUAGGGUGAUUGAGAUGUUGGGGAAGGAGUGUUUGGAGGUGACGGAAUGUAGGGAGGUUGGGAAAUGGGAGAAGGAGUGGUGGAUGGUGGUGUGGAAAUGUAAGAAGGUGGCUGGGAUAUUGGGGAAGGAGUGGUGGAUGGUGGUGUGGAAAUGUAAGGUGGCUGGGAUAUUGGGGAAGGAGUGGUGUUUGGAGGUGAUGGGAUGUAAGGAGGCUGAGAUAUUGGGGAAGGAGUGUUUGGAGGUGAUGGGGUGUAAGGAGGCUGGGAAGUAGGAGAAGGAGUAUUGGGUUGUGGAGGCACAUAAGGUGACUGAGAAAAGG